rnacentral:lncRNA from 1 species
CUCUCCGCGGCGGCGGCGGCGGCAGGGGCUGAGGGCACAGCCAGCGGGCGGCGCGCCGCGGACUCCAAGGCAGCCCGCGGAAAGAAUCGUGAAUAUGACUGGGAAGUGACAGUCGCCCAUCUUUCGCACCUAGAGAACUGUCCUCGGGAUCUACAGAGAGGUUGGUUGUCCGACUUACUAACGUGGAGAGAAUACCUUGGCUUUGCGUGGGAGACACAGCUACUGGGCGAAGCUCUACGGAGAUCCACAUUGUGUGGCGGCAAAAGCUGAUUUAAAGAUAAAAUUGAGUACUGCAGAGAUACUGUGAUUCGCCCAAGGAGCCAUACCUGGUAAGUAGAGAAAGAAGAAACA